UACGUAGGGGGCUAGCGUUGUCCGGAAUCAUUGGGCGUAAAGAGCGUGUAGGCGGUCCGGUAAGUCCGCUGUGAAAGUCGGGGGCUCAACCCUCGAAUGCCGGUGGAUACUGUCGGGCUAGAGUGCGGAAGAGGCGAGUGGAAUUCCUGGUGUAGCGGUGAAAUGCGCAGAUAUCAGGAGGAACACCUAUGCGAAGGCAGCUCGCUGGGACGUAACUGACGCUGAGACGCGAAAGCGUGGGGAGCAAACAGG
rnacentral:rRNA from 1 species